rnacentral:rRNA from 1 species
AGCGAACGCUGGCGGCAGGCUUAACACAUGCAAGUCGAGCGCCCCGCAAGGGGAGCGGCAGACGGGAGAGUAACACGUGGGAACAUACCUUUUGGUUCGGAACAACUGAGGGAAACUUCAGCUAAUACCGGAUAAGCCCUUACGGGGAAAGAUUUAUCGCCGAAAGAUUGGCCCGCGUCUGAUUAGCUAGUUGGUGAGGUAACGGCUCACCAAGGCGACGAUCAGUAGCUGGUCUGAGAGGAUGAUCAGCCUCACUGGGACUGAGACACGGCCCAGACUCCUACGGGAAGCAGCAGUGGGGAAUAUUGGACAAUGGGGGCAACCCUGAUCCAGCCAUGCCGCGUGAGUGAUGAAGGCCUUAGGGUUGUAAAGCUCUUUUGCCCGGGGAGAUAAUGACGGUACCGGGAGAAUAAGCCCCGGCUAACUUCGUG